CGUGUCCACUGGAAUCAAGAUGGCCGCCACGAUCACGUGUCCACUGGAGCCAAGAUGGCCGCCAUGAUUCCUCCUGAUGAGAUCAAGAUGGCCGCCAAGUCCCAAGUCCACUCAGGCCACAAUGGCCGCCAUGAUUCCUUCCGACGCCACCGGAACCAAGAUGGCCGCCGCCAGACGGGAAGCCAUCCGGUUUAAAGAUGGCCGCCUCCACGUGACAUCACCAUUUUCCACACGGCCUCCAGUUCCGCCAUGACCACAUCCAAGAUGCAUGCCAGUAUCCAUCGCAGCUUCCGGUUCAAGAUGGCGGCCAGCCCCCAGCUUCCGGUUCGAUUGCCGCAAGCCGCCCCGUUUCCGGUUCAAAAUGGCCGCCAGCCCCCACAACUUCCGGUUCAAGAUGUCCGCCAUCUUGGGCUCACCCAGUGGCAUCCUCGACCUCGGCCCAGUCAGCCAUCUUGGGGCCAACGUGCCCGCCAUCUUAGGGUCGCCCAGUGGCCAUCUUGGCCCUUGUCGGCCAUCUUGGCUCCCUUGUCAGCCAUCUUGGCCGUGUCGGCCAUCUUGGCUC
rnacentral:lncRNA from 1 species